CCAAUAGCGUAUAUUAAAGUUGUUGCAGUUAAAAAGCUCGUAGUUGAAUUUCGGGAUCAAGGAAUCGGUCAUGCCUCGGUAUGUACUGGUUUUAUUGGUUCUCACCUUCUAAAGAACCAUAAUGUCAUUCAUUUGAUGUUAUGGGGAAUUAGGACUGUUACCUUGAAAAAAUUAGAGUGUUUAAAGCAGGCUUACGCUUGAAUACAUUAGCAUGGAAUAAUGAAAUAGGACAUCAGAUUCUAUUUUGUUGGUUUCUAGGAUCGAUGUAAUGAUUAAUAGGGAUAGUUGGGGGCAUUAGUAUUCAAUUGUCAGAGGUGAAAUUCUUGGAUUUAUUGAAGACUAACUACUGCGAAAGCAUUUGCCAAGGAUGUUUUCAUUAAUCAAGAACGAAAGUUAGGGGAUCGAAGACGAUCAGAUACCGUCGUAGUCUUAACCAUAAACUAUGCCGACUAGGGAUCGGAUGAUGUUAAUUUUAUAAUGACUCAUUCGGCACCUUAC
rnacentral:rRNA from 1 species